UUAAAACUCAAAUGAAUUGACGGGGGCCCGCACAAGCGGUGGAGCAUGUGGUUUAAUUCGAUGCAACGCGAAGAACCUUACCUGGUCUUGACAUCCACGGAAGUUUUCAGAGAUGAGAAUGUGCCUUCGGGAACCGUGAGACAGGUGCUGCAUGGCUGUCGUCAGCUCGUGUUGUGAAAUGUUGGGUUAAGUCCCGCAACGAGCGCAACCCUUAUCCUUUGUUGCCAGCGGUCCGGCCGGGAACUCAAAGGAGACUGCCAGUGAUAAACUGGAGGAAGGUGGGGAUGACGUCAAGUCAUCAUGGCCCUUACGACCAGGGCUACACACGUGCUACAAUGGCGCAUACAAAGAGAAGCGACCUCGCGAGAGCAAGCGGACCUCAUAAAGUGCGUCGUAGUCCGGAUUGGAGUCUGCAACUCGACUCCAUGAAGUCGGAAUCGCUAGUAAUCGUGGAUCAGAAUGCCACGGUGAAUACGUUCCCGGGCCUUGUACACACCGCCCGUCACACCAUGGGAGUGGGUUGCAAAAGAAGUAGGUAGCUUAACCUUCGGGAGGGCGCUUACCACUUUGUGAUUCAUGACUGGGGUGAAGUCGUAACAAGGUAACCGUAGGGGAACCUGCGGUUGGAUCACCUCCUUACCUUAAAGAAGC
rnacentral:rRNA from 2 species